UUCUUAUCUAGAGAGAUUGAGGGAUCAGGCCCUAUGACAUCUCGGCAGCGGAUUCUUUAUAUUAAAGAAUACUGUGCCAAUUCCUGCAAAUGCAAACGAGCAUUUGAAAGAUGAGAA
rnacentral:ncRNA from 2 species